UACGAGGGAUGCAAGCGUUAUCCGGAAUUAUUGGGCGUAAAGCGUUCGUAGGUGGUCAGGUAAGUCUGUCGUUAAAGCAUGGAGCUCAACUCCAUAUCGGCGAUGGAAACUGCCCGACUUGAGUGUGGUAGGGGUAACAGGAAUUCCCAGUGUAGCGGUGAAAUGCGUAGAUAUUGGGAAGAACACCAGCGGCGAAAGCGUGUUACUGGGCCACAACUGACACUGAGGGACGAAAGCUAGGGGAGCGAAAGGG
rnacentral:rRNA from 1 species